UACGGAGGGUGCGAGCGUUAAUCGGAAUUACGGGGCGUAAAGCGCGCGUAGGUGGUUUGGUAAGUCGGAUGUGAAAGCCCCGGGCUUAACCUGGGAACUGCAUUCGAUACUGCCUUACUGGAGUGUGGUAGAGGGUAGUGGAAUUCCAGGUGUAGCGGUGAAAUGCGUAGAUAUCUGGAGGAACAUCAGUGGCGAAGGCGGCUACCUGGACCAACACUGACACUGAGGCGCGAAAGCGUGGGGAGCAAACAGG
rnacentral:rRNA from 1 species